GUUUAGAGUAUGUAGAAUAGGGUGCCCGUAGCCAGCUACGGAAACUGGAUCAGCAGAUGGGGAAUGGGAGAUCCUGCAUGUCCCGUAAGGAAAUGUUUUCAGUGUUGCUCAAAGCUGGGGUUCUGGAGCAGCAGUACACGCAGCACAUCUGUCUCUGCUGUUCGUUCUGCUUCUUUGCAAUGACUCCUCGGGAGUGGUCAGUGGCGGUCUGGGUGGAGUCUUUGAUCACAAUGUUGAAGAUAAACAGAUGCUGCCUGGCCUGCUGAGUUCCUCCAGCAUUUUGUGCGUGUUACUUUGGAUUUCCAGCAUCUGCAGACUUUCUCAUGUUUAUAAAGGAGGUUUAUUGGAAAUAUAAUAAAGUUUCCCAUGUUGUUUG